UUUCGCAAUGCCCGAAAGGGUGACGAAGCGACGCCGCGUGGGUGAGGAAGGCCUUCGGGUUGUAAAGCCCUGUCAGGGGUUAAGAAAUGUAAGUGCGCUAAUAUCGCAUUUAUUUGACGAAGGCUCCAAAGGAAGCCACGGCUAACUCUGUGCCAGCAGCCGCGGUAAUACAGAGGUGGCAAGCGUUGUUCGGAAUUAUUGGGCGUAAAGAGCACGUAGGUGGGUUUGUAAGUCAGAUGUGAAAGCCUUCUGUUCAACGGAAGAAUUGCAUCUGAAACUGCGAGUCUUGAGUGUAGGAGGGGAGAAUGGAACUUCUGGUGGAGCGGUGAAAUGCGUAGAUAUCAGAAGGAACGCCGGCGGCGAAAGCGAUUCUCUGGCCUAUUACUGACACUCAGUGUGCGAAAGCUAGGGGAGCAAACGGGAUUAGAUACCCCGGUAGUCCUAGCCGUAAACGAUGGGCACUAAGUAGAGGGGUUUU
rnacentral:rRNA from 1 species